GUCAGUGAGCCCCUCCCCCAGGCCCCGCUCCAGGUCCCGUUCAGCCAGUCCCUCCCGCCGCAUCCGCAGCCGAUCCGUUAGUCCAAGCCGGAGUAGGAGUCCGUUUAGCUCUGGUGCUUGGUAAUGAGCAUCUUGUGCAACGUGCGUGCCUGUAGUGCACAUGAUCUGGGUCAUCUAGGACUUGAUGUUUAUUUUUAAAAAGUUUAGAACUUUAAUUAGAUCACCUCAUUCAUAUAUGGCUUGCUAAUUUCUAUUAUUUGAUCAUUGCUUUAUUUUGUUUAUGAAAAUUAUUACAGCAGAUUUAUGAUGGUUUUUUUGUUUUUUUAAGAAUUUCAAAAGAAGCUGAAUCAGUGUUUGAGUAUAGUUAAGAUUUUUGUAUACUGAUGAUUUUGUGUGACUAUUAACCUAAUUGUAAUAUCGUUGUCAAGUUAUUUAUUGUCAAUUUAGCUAACGGUUGUAGAAUCCAUGCACCAUUUGUCUAGCUGAAAAUUCUGUUUUUCUGUCGCUAAAAUCUAUAGCAGGAAUGAGGUGAAUCUUUGCCAUCUUUGGAGUUACCACGGUAACAGGGUUACAAAAGUGCAGAACAUGGAACCAUGGGAGAUAACUAUGUUUUACCAUGUUAUCGAAUCAAAUCCAUUGUUGCUGCAUCUACUUCUGUGAUAAAUUUUAACCUAGAAUUAACAAAUUGAUAUUUCAUACUUUGUGUAUUUCUCUUUCUUUGAUUUACUCAUAUUUUGCCCUCUAAUAUAAGCUUUUAACAAAAGAAAUGCUUUAUUCUAGCUUUAUACUUUCUUGAUAUUAAAUUGUUUUUGAAAAUCACUGUAUAUAGUCUCUUCUCACUUGUUUUAGUUACCUGUCCAAUAAAUCUAACACACUUAGCAUAAAAUGUUAUAUAACAAAUGUUAUAUAACAUUUACAGUGAACAUCUACGUUUGGCCAAAUUUCAUUUCUUUGGGUGUGCUGUUUUGGGGAACUGUAAUUUUUUUGGUGCUUGUGAAAUUUCAUAUCCAUCUCUGCUGUGAUAUUUUUGAGUUUGAACUAUUAAAUUAAAUAGUUCACUUUUUCCGUCCAUUAUUUCAUGUUUUUGCUAUAUAUUUUAUAUAAUAUCAUUGCUUAAGGUAUGGAGAGUAUUUUUGUUGUAGAUACACUUGUUUAGAAGUUUUAUUCCUGUAAAGGCAAGUUGUGUAUUUUUAUUACACCAUCAGUAUUUUUGACAAGUUGGAACUGCUUGGUUUUAAUUUUACAAAAUUCUUUUUAAUUAAGAAUACAUUUAUCUCUAUUUUUUACCAAGGUUUUCUUUUAAUAAUCUCUCAAGAGAAUAAAAAAAAAACAACCCCGUUGAAUUUUAUAAAGUUAACACCAGGCAAAUCAUCAUUUGGAAGUCUGAAAUGAAUGUUGACAUGAAGAAAGUGAAAGUAGUCAACAAAUUCCAACAUGUAUUUAUCUAUUACUGUGAUCUAAUUCGAUUGAUAUGUUUAAGUGUAUUUAAAUAGUAAAUUAUGUGUAGUCAAUAUAUAAUAAAUUUGUGGAAUUGCU
rnacentral:misc_RNA from 1 species